rnacentral:rRNA from 1 species
CCUACGGGUGGCAGCAGUGGGGAAUAUUGGGCAAUGGGCGCAAGCCUGACCCAGCAACGCCGCGUGAAGGAAGAAGGCUUUCGGGUUGUAAACUUCUUUUCUCAGGGACGAAGAAAGUGACGGUACCUGCGGAAUAAGCCACCGCUAACUACGUGCCAGCCGCCGCGGUAAUACGUAGGUGGCAAGCGUUAUCCGGAUUUAUUGGGUGUAAGGGGCGUGUAGGCGGGAGCGCAAGUCAGAUGUGAAAACUCAGGGCUCAACCCUGAGCCUGCAUUUGAAACUGUGUUUCUUGAGUGCUGGAGAGGCAAUCGGAAUUCCGUGUGUAGCGGUGAAAUGCGUAGAUAUACGGAGGAACACCAGUGGCGAAGGCGGAUUGCUGGGCAGUAACUGACGCUGAGGCGCGAAAGCGUGGGGAGCAAACAGGAUUAGAUACCCCAGUAGUC